rnacentral:rRNA from 1 species
UUUUAUUUGAGAGUUUGAUCCUGGCUCAGGAUGAACGCUGGCGGCGUGCCUAACACAUGCAAGUUGAGCGAUUUACUUCGGUAAAGAGCGGCGGACGGGUGAGUAACGCGUGGGUAACCUACCCUGUACACACGGAUAACAUACCGAAAGGUAUGCUAAUACGGGAUAAUAUAUUUGAGAGGCAUCUCUUAGAUAUCAAAGGUGAGCCAGUACAGGAUGGACCCGCGUCUGAUUAGCUAGUUGGUAAGGUAACGGCUUACCAAGGCGACGAUCAGUAGCCGACCUGAGAGGGUGAUCGGCCACAUUGGAACUGAGACACGGUCCAAACUCCUACGGGAGGCAGCAGUGGGGAAUAUUGCACAAUGGGCGAAAGCCUGAUGCAGCAACGCCGCGUGAGUGAUGAAGGCCUUCGGGUCGUAAAACUCUGUCCUCAAGGAAGAUAAUGACGGUACUUGAGGAGGAAGCCCCGGCUAACUACGUGCCAGCAGCCGCGGUAAUACGUAGGGGGCUAGCGUUAUCCGGAUU